AGCAGCCGCGGUAAUUCCAGCUCCAAUAGCGUAUAUUAAAGUUGCUGCAGUUAAAAAGCUCGUAGUUGAAUUUCGGGACCAAUAUGUCGGUCGUGCCUCGGUACGUACUGGCAUCGUUGGUUUCUCCCUUCUGACGAACCAUGAUGUCAUUUAUUUGGUGUCGUGGGGAAUCAGGACUGUUACUUUGAAAAAAUUAGAGUGUUUAAAGCAGGCUCACGCUUGAAUACAUUAGCAUGGAAUAAUGAAAUAGGACGUUUGAUUCUAUUUUGUUGGUUUCUAGGAUCGACGUAAUGAUUAAUAGGGAUAGUUGGGGGCAUUAGUAUUCAAUUGUCAGAGGUGAAAUUCUUGGAUUUAUUGAAGACUAACUACUGCGAAAGCAUUUGCCAAGGAUGUUUUCAUUAAUCAAGAACGAAAGUUAGGGGAUCGAAGACGAUCAGAUACCGUCGUAGUCUUAACCAUAAACUAUGCCGACUAGGGAUCGGAUGAUGUUAAUUUUUUAAUGUACUCAUUCGGCGUACCC
rnacentral:rRNA from 1 species